rnacentral:rRNA from 1 species
ACGCUCGACACCUACGAGAGGCAGCAGUGGGGAAUAUUGCACAAUGGGGGAAACCCUGAUGCAGCGACGCCGCGUGGAGGAAGAAGGUCUUCGGAUUGUAAACUCCUGUUGUUGGGGAAAAAGAGGAUGGUACCCAACAAGGAAGUGACGGCUAACUACGUGCCAGAAGCCGCGGUAAUCUGAGCGGGCUGGCAAGGC